AAUUUGUAUUAAUCAAUCACGUGUUUUAUUAGCAUUGCUGAAUGCACUGAAAAUGCGCAUAUCGAUAAAUAAUUCGAUACAUGUGCACUUGCUGCGCAGUAAGUCGGGGUUUCCACAUUCCUCAUUGUCAUAGUGCAGCUAGACUACGUCGUUAUACUCGAGUAUUGGCUUUAACAUUUUUAUACAUUUAAUUAAUAUCCAACCAUGAAGUAAAGAAUGAUCUGGAAAUGCUAAUUAAACUCUAUGGUGUUUGAAGAUAAUCAAAGAUUGUGUUUGGUAGCAAUUUGUCGAAGCGAUGAAAGGAAUGUUUAAUGCAGCGAUGAGAAAAUCUGCCAUAAUUAUACUUUUGCUGAUAUUUUUAAUCACCGAUAAAUCAAGAAACUACGCAUUUCCAAUUAAUCCUGAAAUAAAUCAGCGCUUGUUUUUUAACGCAUGAAUAAAUGUAAAUCGAAAUGUAGAGAGCUAGUUGUGUUGUUUAUCGCACAAGAGAGACAACGUGAUUGAUAAAAA